rnacentral:sRNA from 1 species
CAUUGAUCAACGACACAUGAAAAUGGGUUUAAGGUCAAAUGAACCCCGUCAAACAGACCUGUUCACCUUACAAUCAAGUCUGUUUGACGGGGUUCAUUUGACCUUAAACCCAUUAAAUAUAGUUGAUAAGGUUUG